rnacentral:rRNA from 1 species
UACGGAGGAUGCAAGCGUUAUCCGGAAUGAUUGGGCGUAAAGCGUCCGCAGGUGGCUGUGUAAGUCUGCUGUCAAAGAGCGAAGCUCAACUUCGUAAAGGCAGUGGAAACUACACGGCUAGAGUGCGUUCGGGGCAGAGGGAAUUCCUGGUGUAGCGGUGAAAUGCGUAGAGAUCCGGAAGAACACCGGUGGCGAAGGCGGCCUGCUGGGCAGUAGCUGACGCUGAGGCGCGACAGCGUGGGGAGCGAACCGG